rnacentral:rRNA from 1 species
GGGUGAGUAACGCGUGGGUAACCUGCCCUGUACACACGGAUAACAUACCGAAAGGUAUGCUAAUACGAGAUAAAAUACUUUUAUCGCAUGGUAGAAGUAUCAAAGCUUUUGCGGUACAGGAUGGACCCGCGUCUGAUUAGCUAGUUGGUAAGGUAACGGCUUACCAAGGCGACGAUCAGUAGCCGACCUGAGAGGGUGAUCGGCCACAUUGGAACUGAGACACGGUCCAAACUCCUACGGGAGGCAGCAGUGGGGAAUAUUGCACAAUGGGCGAAAGCCUGAUGCAGCAACGCCGCGUGAGCGAUGAAGGCCUUCGGGUCGUAAAGCUCUGUCCUCAAGGAAGAUAAUGACGGUACUUGAGGAGGAAGCCCCGGCUAACUACGUGCCAGCAGCCGCGGUAAUACGUAGGGGGCUAGCGUUAUCCGGAAUUACUGGGCGUAAAGGGUGCGUAGGUGGUUUCUUAAGUCAGAGGUGAAAGGCUACGGCUCAACCGUAGUAAGCCUUUGAAACUGGGAAACUUGAGUGCAGGAGAGGAGAGUGGAAUUCCUAGUGUAGCGGUGAAAUGCGUAGAUAUUAGGAGGAACACCAGUUGCGAAGGCGGCUCUCUGGACUGUAACUGACACUGAGGCACGAAAGCGUGGGGAGCAAACAGGAUUAGAUACCCUGGUAGUCCACGCCGUAAACGAU